rnacentral:rRNA from 1 species
GAUGAACGCUAGCGGCAGGCUUAAUACAUGCAAGUCGAGGGGCAACAGGGGUAGCAAUACCUGCUGGCGACCGGCAAACGGGUGCGGAACACGUACAGAACCUUCCUUUAAGCGGGGGAUAGCCCAUAGAAAUGUGGAUUAAUACCCCAUAGUAAUGUUUGAUGGCAUCAUUAGACAUUUAAAGAUUUAUCACUUAAAGAUGGCUGUGCGGCUGAUUAGGUAGUUGGGUGGGUAACGGCCCACCAAGCCAGCGAUCAGUAACUGGUGUGAGAGCACGACCAGUCACACGGGCACUGAGACACGGGCCCGACUCCUACGGGAGGCAGCAGUAAGGAAUAUUGGUCAAUGGACGCAAGUCUGAACCAGCCAUGCCGCGUGAAGGAUGAAGGCCCCUCUGGGUUUNUAAACUUUCUUUUAUCGUGGGAAAGAAAUCGCCUGCUUUUAUAGCGGGUUUGACGGUACCAGAGGAAUAAGCACCGGCUAA